AAGGAUUUAAGUUAAAAAAACUCGGAACCUUCAAAGUUCCCAAUAAGGCCAUCGCUUUAAGCCUUG
rnacentral:tRNA from 1 species